rfam:Heterorhabditis bacteriophora unplaced genomic scaffold Scaffold260, whole genome shotgun sequence.
CCAACGGCCCUCUUUAGGGCCACAAAUGUCUAUGAAUACCUUGAUUU